CAAGUGCGCUUUCCGCAUAUUAUUAGAAAAUGUUCGAAAUAUGCGGAGAGCGCUCAUGUGCGCUUUACAAAAAAAAUAUGAGCAAACACUAAACAAGGUUUGAUUACGAUCAAGACAUCAUUAUGUAACAUAUAAGGAACUUUUUUGAUGAGAUUGGGAUCAAAUAUUAAUUCCGCACUGUAUGAUACCAUAUUUAUUACUAUCGCAGUGAAAGUGUUAAGAAAAUGUUUACAAUCACUUCUUAUCCUAACCUGAUAAUAUUUGUGUUUUUAGAUCCGAAAGAUAUUCUUAUGGCGAUUCAGCUAUUGGAUAUGUUCAAGUAAAUAGGGAAGCAAACAUAUGUGUAGCUCAUUACUCCCGAACAUAAUGUGAAACAGAAGUGUUACUCUGUAACAGCAGUAUGUGAUGAAGCUGAACAGAGAAUUGUCUCUGCAGAAUGUGAAGAUUGCGCAGCACAUUUAGGUGGAUUUAAGCAUGCAAUAACUUUUAUAGCUUGGCUGCACAGGCGUAGCGAAGACCCUCCCUCUACUAGUAUCGACUGUUACUGGAAGAAGUCCAAAUUAUCCACGAUAGGCACAACCCUAAAGUAUAUAAGAGCUACACAGUUAGGUAGUAGUUCAAAAGGCAAACCUGCUCCAUCUGCCAAUACUCGAAGCCUUCUGCCAACUCUAAUAAACCAUAGCAAAAGCAUCGGUCACAUGAAAAGUCAACUCAUGAAAUACUACAAGGAAAAAAGCAGAGAAGAAAAAUUAUCCAUUCAUCAUUUAGUAAAUACACUACCAAAUAAACCGGCUAACGCCAUAGAGUUCAUCAACUAUUGCAGGAGUAUGAUGGACACAUCAUCUUGCAAUGAAGCUAAUCUAGCUACAAUUGAUCAGAAUGACUGUCCGCUGUGGCAUGAGCUACGGAAUGCUAGGAUUACUGCUUCGAAGAUGCAUGAAGAAGCACAUUGCAAAGUUUUCGAAGGCACUUUAUGUGAAAGUAUAAUGGGAGCAAUUAAAUUAAAGGACACAGAGGCGAUGAAAAGAGGGCGUUUGCUAGAGAAAAAAGUAUUGAAAGAAGUCGAAAAAAAAAUGAAACUGAAAAUUAAUGGGUGUGGUUUGAUCUUAAACCCUAAUUAUCUCGUAUUUGGUGCAUCUCCUGAUGAUGAGAGUAUUGAUUACAGUAUUGAAAUCAAAUGUCCAUCAUCUGAGAAAGCCAUGAGUAGGUAAAUAUGUUUUAAAAGAUGUUAUAUCCUCAAAAUAUAUGGCUCAGGUCCAAAUGCAGAUGUAUUUUUCAAAUAAAAAAAGGGCUUUUCUGUGUUUCA